rnacentral:misc_RNA from 1 species
UACGUAGGGGGCAAGCGUUGUCCGGAAUUAUUGGGCGUAAAGGGCACGCAGGCGGUUCCUUAAGUCUGAUGUGAAAGCCCGUGGCUCAACCACGGAGGGCCAUUGGAAACUGGGGAACUUGAGAACUGAAGAGGAGAGUGGAAUUCCACGUGUAGCGGUGAAAUGCGUAGAUAUGUGGAGGAACACCAGUGGCGAAGGCGACUCUCUGGUCGGUUUCUGACGCUGAGGUGCGAAAGCGUGGGUAGCAAACAGG